CAUAGAAAUGUAUCUGUAUGCAGAAUAACAAAUGAGAUGCUAGAACUUACGGGAAUUUUUUGACUGGCUUUACUCUCCAAAGUGGUCUGUUGAUCUGAGUGCUCAGUAUUUCUGUACAUAGCUCUUUUAUGUUCUGAUGUGUAUAGUGCACAAAUUAACUUUUCAUUCAGGACGUGUAUUUCUAGGCACAUCCCGGGUAUGGAAAUCCUUUGGGCUACAUGCUGGAAGUGAGGCCCAGUUUCUGUGGCACGCUGCCACAUCUCUUUUGAUUAGGAAGCUAACGGCUGGAUAACUUCUGAAAACAGGAAGAGAUGUGUGGGAAAGCUUCCAACACUGAUCGCAAAAUGGCUGCCGCUUCACCUCACUUGCAGCAGUCUGGAAGCCAACAAGAACAGGAAAAGCAUUUUGGUGAAGGACUUCAGCUGGCUGAGCACACCAAGUGGGAUGUUUCAUUGGGAAAGAAAAAGGGAUAAAGGAAAGGCUUCUCAAGACCUCUGAAUGGAGGACAAUCUGCUCUAUCCAGUGUGAGUCACUACAGCAUCUGGUAACUUCUGGUGAAAAUAGGUGUUGAUCCACUCCAACUGCUUGCAAAUUUUAAUAAAUUAAUGUUUACACCCCA
rnacentral:lncRNA from 1 species